rnacentral:rRNA from 1 species
GACGGAGGGUGCUAGCGUUGUUCGGAAUGACUGGGCGUAAAGGGCGCGUAGGCGGCUCGUGAAGUCGGGUGUGAAAGCCCGGGGCUCAACCCCGGAACGGCAUCCGAUACUGGCGGGCUUGAGACCGGGAGAGGAGGGUGGAAUACCCAGUGUAGAGGUGAAAUUCGUAGAUAUUGGGUGGAACACCGGUGGCGAAAGCGGCUCUCUGGCCCGGAUCUGACGCUGAGGCGCGACAGCGUGGGGAGCAAACAGG